GACGAACGCUGGCGGCGUGCUUAACACAUGCAAGUCGAACGGAGUGGCGCACGGGUGAGUAACACGUGGGUGAUCUGCCUUGCACUUCGGGAUAAGCUUGGGAAACUGGGUCUCAUACCGGAUAGGGUAAGCUGGGCUCGCGGCCUAUCAGCUUGUUGGUGGGGUAAUGGCCGACCAAGGCGUCGACGGGUAGCCGGCCUGAGAGGGUGUACGGCCACAUUGGGACUGCGAGACGGCCCAGACUCCUACGGGAGGCAGCAGUGGGGAAUCUUGCACAAUGGGCGGAAGUCUGAUGCAGCGACGCUGGGUGUGGGAUGAAGGCCUGCGGGUUGGAAACUCCUUUCGACAGGGACGCGGUACCUGUAUAAGAAGCACCGGCUAACUACGUGCCAGCAGCCGCGGUAAUUC
rnacentral:rRNA from 1 species